rnacentral:rRNA from 1 species
GUGCAGCAGGCGAGAAUCCUUCGCAAUGCAGGAACUGCGACGAGGGAACUCCAAGUGCCUACGCUCAGCGUAGGCUGUUCUCAAGCCUAGAAAGCUUUGAGGAGUAAGGGGCUGGGUAAGACGGGUGCCAUCUGUGGUAGCAGUCAAUAGAUUCGAUUUGUUACUGCAAGGCAUAAGCCGCCGCGGUAAUACCCGCAGCCCAAGUGGUGGCCGCUUUUAUUGGGCCUAAAGCGUCCGUAGCCGGCCCCGGUAAAUGCCUGGGUAAAUCGUGGAGCCCAACUUCACGAAUUCCGGGUAGACUGCCGAGCUCGGGACCGGAAGAGGGAGA